UUUAUCGGAGAGUUUGAUCCUGGCUCAGGACGAACGCUGGCGGCGUGCCUAAUACAUGCAAGUCGAGCGGACAG
rnacentral:rRNA from 2 species